rnacentral:rRNA from 1 species
GACGAACGCUGGCGGCGUGCUUAACACAUGCAAGUCGAACGGAAAGGCCCUGCUUUUGUGGGGUGCUCGAGUGGCGAACGGGUGAGUAACACGUGAGUAACCUGCCCUUGACUUUGGGAUAACUUCAGGAAACUGGGGCUAAUACCGGAUAGGAGCUCCUGCUGCAUGGUGGGGGUUGGAAAGUUUCGGCGGUUGGGGAUGGACUCGCGGCUUAUCAGCUUGUUGGUGGGGUAGUGGCUUACCAAGGCUUUGACGGGUAGCCGGCCUGAGAGGGUGACCGGCCACAAUGGGACUGAGAGACGGCCCAGACUCCUACGGGAGGCAGCAGUGGGGAAUAUUGCACAACGGGCGGAAGCCUGAUGUGGCAACGCCGCGUGCGGGAUGACGGCCUUCGGGUUGUAAACCGCUUUCGCCUGUGAUGAAGCGUGAGUGACGGUAAUGGGUAAAGAAGCACCGGCUAACUACGUG